rnacentral:siRNA from 1 species
UCUCACAAGCGUCACGUCUUAUGA